rnacentral:rRNA from 1 species
GACGAACGCUGGCGGCGUGCUUAACACAUGCAAGUCGAGCGGUAAGGCCCUUUCGGGGGUACACGAGCGGCGAACGGGUGAGUAACACGUGGGUGACCUGCCCUCAGUUCUGGGAUAAGCCUGGGAAACCGGGUCUAAUACUGGAUAUGACCUCAUGACGCAUGUUGUGGGGUGGAAAGCCUUGUGCGACUGAGGAUGGGCCCGCGGCCUAUCAGCUUGUUGGUGGGGUGAUGGCCUACCAAGGCGACGACGGGUAGCCGGCCUGAGAGGGCGACCGGCCGCACUGGGACUGAGACACGGCCCAGACUCCUACGGGAGGCAGCAGUGGGAAUCUUGCGCAAUGGGC